CACGUAGGGGGCAAGCGUUGUCCGGAUUUAUUGGGCGUAAAGAGCUCGUAGGCGGUUCGCUAAGUCGGGUGUGAAACCUCCAGGCUCAACCUGGAGACGCCACCUGAUACUGGUGUGACUCGAGUCCGGUAGGGGAGCGUGGAAUUCCUGGUGUAGCGGUGAAAUGCGCAGAUAUCAGGAGGAACACCAGCGGCGAAGGCGGCGCUCUGGUACGUGACUGACGCUGAGACGCGAAAGCGUGGGGAGCGAACAGG
rnacentral:rRNA from 1 species